AAGUCGUAACAAGGUUUCCGUAGGUGAACCUGCGGAAGGAUCAUUAACACGUAUCCAACGUAAAAAACCCCCUGUGAACAUUCAAACCUGCUCUCGUAGCCCAGUGCGAUCCAGCAAUCCCGGUAAAUCAUUGUCGAACAGCUUUUGAUUCGGGACUUCUGACAAAUGAGAAGUUACAGUUACGAUUGAGCGGAGAUAGCUGCAUGGCUCUGAAAGUGUCAUUGAUUGUCUAAGGAUCUCGCCUCAACGAUUGCUAGAGGUCGCUCACCGACCGGCAGACAUGCAACCGGGUCCCCACGCCCCUUUACAACCCGAUUACCUCUGUGAGUCUAGGCGGACGCACUAGGCUAAAAAAACCUCGAACAACUGUUAACAAUGGAUAUCUUGGUUCUC
rnacentral:misc_RNA from 1 species